rnacentral:misc_RNA from 1 species
UCCUUUUCCGCAAUCUGCGAUCACUUCAGGAGGCGAAACACAAAGGGAGAAAUGCCGGUUCUUCUCAGCCGCGUCUAAUCGAGAGUUACAGAUUUAAUCGAAACAAGUUGAUUCUGCGUAAAGAUAUGAUAAUGGAGGUGGAUUUUGUUACUAGUAGCAUGUUAGAAGAAGAGACUGUUGAAGCUGACGAGAACAAUGAUAUUUCUAAUUUUGAGGGUGAAACAUGUGGGAUAUGCAUGGACAUUAUCAUUGACAGGGGGGUUCUUGAUUGCUGCCAACACUGGUAUAUAUGCUCAACUUCUUUGUAACUCUAUCGGUCUAUCCUUUUUUUUGUCCUUGAAGUAUAAUUCACUAUGCGUCUUGAAAAUUAUAAGCAUUUUCUAUAUAUCUAUCAACUUCUAUUGUUGCUUAGGCAAAAUGCACAAUAAAAGUAGUGUUGUGGGUUCAUUAUGAGAAUUUCAGGUUCUGUUUUGGUUGCAUCGACAACUGGGCUACAAUCACAAACCUUUGUCCACUUUGCCAGAAUGAGUUUCAAUUGAUCACCUGUGUUCCUGUGAGUGACUAAAAAUUCUUGAAGUAUUGCCUUCAAUUAUCAUCUUACAAUAACUUUUUUUUUUUGUUGCAAAAGUCUUUUUCUAAUAAUGAUUUGAGAAAUUCUAUGAGGUGAAAUUUCUUUCUGUUGGUUUCUAUGACCUAAUUAUAUCAUUAGGGAAAACUUUAUUGAAACUACAUUCUGAAGAUUGCACAAAGUGAUGGCUUAUUCUUUCCCUUUGAUUAUGAAGGUGUAUGACAUUACUGGAAAUAAUAAGGUUGAUGAUGAUUCAUUUUCCAGGGAUGAUGAGUGGUCUGUUGAAGGGAAGAACAAUACUCUUUCUUUCCCAUCAUACUAUAUUGAUGAGAAUUUAUCUGCUUGGAUGGAGAUGGGUGCAAAAUUCGAAGUGGGUCCGCAAUUAUUGAUGAGGACUCUAACUUGGAUACCUCAAUUGCGUGUGAUUCUUGUGACAUUUGGUACCAUGCCUUUUGUGUGGGCUUUGAUCCUGAAGGUACAUCUGAGGAUACAUGGUUGUGCCCAAGAUGUGUGGUUGGUGAAGUGCCGCAUGAAUCUGAAGUAAUUAUGAUACAGAGGCCAAACAACCAGUAUGGUUCAGAAAGUUCUCAUACUAGCUUUUCAGCUGGGGCUACAUUUUCUGGGAAAUUGUCUAUAUCUGUUGCUGAUGCUGGAGAGACAGCUGUUGUUGUCUCAAUGGUUGAAGGCAAUAAAAGCACUGAAGAGGCAACUGAGAACCUUCACCCAGCCCUUGAAGUUGACAAGGACUUGAAAAUUGAUGCAGUUGAUAGCCAUAGUUUUAGGUCAGAAACAACUUCCAGUGAAAAGAAUGAUUGUAAACCAAUAUUGGAGGGGCAGAGACUUGAACUCUCCUUAUCACAUGAUUCAUUCUUCAGCCAUCCUUCCACUUCCUCAGUUUUUAGUGAGUUCAAAACAAGUUGUGCUGAUGGAGCAGUGAAUCAAACAAACAGCUCUGAUGGUGUUAAAGAUUCUUUGAGAAAGUUUCUUAAUGGCUCCAAUGGUGGAAACGAACUGUCUGAAAGAGAAACCAGUAUAGGUCUUCAUCUUGGUUUAUCUGUCGGCUCUUUUUUUUCUGUUGAGCAUCUGGAGAAUAAUGGAACUGAAGAUCAAGGGACUGCAGAUGUACAGCAGCAAAGUCUUUCAGAAGAAUCUUUGUUAAAAGAUGAGAAGAUUCUACCUGAUGCUACUGAGGAGGCUGUGAUUGGCUUAAAAAGAAAGCAUACAGAUUGCAGUGAUGAUGUUCUUAAGACUGCUGUUGAUAAGGAAGAUGUUGCUAAUAAUGAAGUGGCGGCUUUUGAAAAGAAAAUUAGAACCAAGGGCAAGUUUCAAAUGACUCAUAAGGACCAACCCAGUGAUAUUCUUCUGGAUGAUUCCAGCAGUUGUCCCACCUGGAAUGCAAUUUGCAAAGACGUCAAAUUGCAAAAAUCUCCAGAGGAUGAAGAUGUCCCUUCUGAUAUAAUGAGUGUAGUUAAAGGGAUUAGUCGUAGACCUUUCAAGGGACUUUCAUGCCAGAGCUCUGCUGAUAAAUCUUCAAAAGAAAGAGAAAAUGCAGCUGGCUUGAGAGUCAAAAAGAUCAUGAGGAGAGUGACAGAAGACAAGGAGUCAUCUAAUGUUGUUCAAAAACUUAGAACAGAAAUAAGAGAAGCGGUGCGUAACAAGUCUUCAGCUGAUAUUGGGGAAAACCUUUUCGAUCCAAAACUUCUUGCUGCUUUCCGCACUGCUGUAGCAGGACCUACAACUGAAGCUGUUGAGAAAUUACCACUCUCUGCUCUGAAGGCAAAGAAGUCUAUGCUGCAGAAAGGUAAAAUUCGUGAGAAUCUGACAAAGAAAAUAUAUGGAAAUUCUAAUGGAAGGCGAAGACGUGCAUGGGAUCGGGACUGUGAGGUUGAAUUCUGGAAGCAUCGCUGCAUGAGGACUACAAAGCCCGAAAAAGUUGCAACUUUGAAGUCAGUUCUUGACCUCCUGAGAAAGAACACUCAAGGCUUGGAAAGGGGGCAGGCAUCUGAGGAGUGUCAGACGGCAAAUCCCAUUCUUUCCAGAUUGUAUUUAGCAGAUACGUCAGUUUUUCCAAGAAAGGAUGAUAUUAAACCUCUCUCAGCUCUUGUUACAAGUAAUAUUGGACAAAGUAAAGGACAGUUCAUUUCAAUGGAGAAAAGUCAGAGUCCAUGUGUUGAUGAUUGUGCACAAAAAUUAUCACAAGCAAAUAAAGUUUCUUUCAAGCCUGCUGUUCCUUCAGUUUGUGAUAAAGGGUCAAAGGAUAAAUUUCCAAGCUCCAAGGAUAUAGCUGCUUCUUGUAAAGCACAACCAGACAAAGCAUCUCAUAGAAACUUCCAGGGUUCACUAGGUGGUGCUAAAGUCAAUUCAAAGAAGGAAACAGGUGUUCAAUCUGAUGAUAAAAAGAUUGACAAAAGAAAAUGGGCUUUGGAGGUACUUGCAAGAAAAAAAGCUGCUACUUGUACAAAUGUGACACAUGAAAGACAGGAAGACAGUGCAAUACUUAAAGGAAAUUACCCCUUACUAGCUCAAUUGCCAAAAGACAUGAGACCAGUAUUGGCCCCUAGCCGCCAUAAUAAAAUCCCCUUAUCAGUUAGGCAGACACAGCUUUAUCGUUUGACAGAACACUUCUUGAGGAAAGUAAAUUUGCCAGAGAUUUAUAGAACAGCAGAAACGGAGUUGGCUGUUGCUGAUGCAAUUAAUAUUGAGAAGAAGGUUGCUGAUAAGUCAAACAGCAAAGUAGUGUAUUUAAACCUUUGUUCCCAAGAAAUAAUGCAUCAUUCAGAUAACAGCGAGUCCAUUAGAGCCAAGGAAUCAGAUUCUUCAACAUGGUCAUUGCUGCUUGUUGAUCAAUCAGAACAAGCUAGUGACAAGCUUUCCACUGAUCCUGCAGUCAGAGAUGCAUUGAGAAACGCAGGGCUGUUAUCUGAUUCUCCUCCAAGUAGCCCAUGUCAUAAUGAGGAGGCUUUUGAUGAAGUUGAUGAUUCCUCAUUGCAGAACAAGGAAGAAGGGCCUGAUAACAUUUUUGAAAUAGAUUCUCAUCCAGAGGUGGAUAUAUAUGGUGAUUUUGAGUAUGAUUUAGAAGAUGAAGACUACAUUGGUGCUGCUGCUAUGACAGUCCCAAAGCUACAAACAGAAGAAAGUGAGUCAAGAAUGAAAGUAGUCUUCUCCACUCUUCAAUCUGAAAGGUUGAAUGAUGUUCAGGAUUUUGAAGAUCAUAAGACACUGGGAGAUGUUGAAGAAUCCAAGCAUUCUCUCCCCUUAUCAAAGGGUCAUGUUGAAGGAGGCACCAUUAACUCAACAAUUGAGGGUGGGACUGAUAACCCUUGUGCUCCUCCAGAGCUGUUGCCUGGUGAAGAACCCUCUCUCACAGAGUGUGAAGAGUUAUAUGGCCCAGACAAGGAACCACUGAUGCACAAAUUUCCAGAAGAAUCACUGAGAAAACUAUAUGGGCAGGUUCCUGUUGAAGCUCCAGCUGAGAAAGAUGAUUCAAGCCAAGUUAGGCAUGCAAUUGAUGCCUCUUUUGGUCAGAACUCCUGUGAUGGACAAAACUCCUCCAACCAUUCCCAGACAAGUGAAAACAUCCCAAGAAAGGAUAAAUCUAAAAUUGAAACUGACAAGCAGUUUGAUGUCAUCAAUUCUGUUUCAAAGAAGGUUGAAACCUACAUCAAAGAGCACAUUAGGCCACUGUGUAAAAGUGGCAUAAUCACUGUUGAACAGUAUAGGUGGGCUGUUGCAAAAACUACUGACAAAGUUAUGAAGUACCACUUGAAUGCCAAGAACGCGAAUUUCCUAAUCAAGGAAGGCGAUAAAGUAAAGAAACUUGCCGAGCAGUAUAUUGAGACUGCACAGCAAAAGGAAAAGAGUGAUCUGCUAUGACUAGGGCAUUUCAAUCUCAAAUUCUUUUGGGCUGUAAAUUUCUUUUCCUAUUUUUCAUAUAUGCAGCAACCACUUGUUUUCAUUCUCCAAACCAGUUAUCUUGUAGAUAAUUACAGCACACAACUUGACGGAUCAUUGACAUUGUGUAGCUCGGAAAUAUGAAGCCAAAACUUGGUACCUAGGUUAUGCUUCCAUGUAUAUCAUGCCGUGGGUCAUUAGAAUCGAUGUCCUUGUAAUGUAUCAGGGUAAGCUGCUUCUUUGGUGAAGCCAACAGAAGGGAAGAAGUGUAAAUUUCUUUAGUUGAAUCUAAUAGAAUUUUCGGGAUGAUAUCUUCCAGGAAUAGUGAAACUGCCCAUACGCGGACCUUUGGUGCAUGUGUACUGAAAGGAGUGGCUCCCAUUGCAGGAACCUCAAAACCAAAGGAAUUGCGAUGAACAGGUCAACCAUCCAAAGCUGAGAUUUUUUUUCUUUUUUUAUUAAGUUGAUGACAAUUAUUUCAGGUUUCAGAUAAUGAGAUUAGUUGCCUCCUCGAGCAUUGAAAUUAGUCCUUAAUUAUAUUGCUAAUGCAGUGUACAGAAUAUGUGCCUCUUGCUCCUUCCCCCCUUUAGAAAACAUUAGCAAAUUCAUUUUCAUGGUAUAAUAGUGUUUCCUAGAAAAAAAAAAUGUAAG